UACCUCUAGGGUUCAGUAAUUGGCCUCUAAUUCUGAGAAAUAGCCAUUUGGGAGGGAGAACAAAGAGGAUGAAGAGAUCAGAGAUGGUGAGAAGCUGGCCUUCUGUCUUGGUAUAGAAAAAGGAAGAAAUAUGUGGCCCAUGGUAAAGCUCAGUGAGUCCUGUGUAGGGGUUGAGUGGAAUCGGUGAAGAGAUAGCUUAGACCUGAUACUUCCACAUACAGAAUAAGGAGAUUGGAGCAACUCAGAAGUAUCUGUACUUCCUUGCUUGUUAUGGUUCCUGGAAAUCAGUUUAUAUCAUUACUUUCUUUAUUCCAAAAGACAGGUUUUCAUCUUGGCACAUUUGUUUCCUGACAGCUCAUGGCUUUUAUGCUUUUAGUCCAGAAGAAAAACCUCCUAAGGAAAAAGAGAAAGACAAGAAUUGUGUACUCCACUCAGAGUAAUCUCCUCCAUUCUUUGGAUCCCUAUAGUGCGGUUUGUGUCUGACACUGAUAUCUAGGUGAGAGAAUUGCUACUAGUUGAGACUUCAUCAACUCAAUCUUUUGACUAGUAUUACUCUUACUACCAUUUCCUGACAGUGAUUCUUUAGAUUUCUGAGUCCAUAGAUGUGGUUAGCUGGAAGUUCUCUUUUAUUUCUUUCGUUUUUCUUUUAAUUUUUAACAAAAUGUAUUGGUUUUUUAAUUGGAUAUUUCUUUUUUCUUUUUCUCUCUUUUUUGGUUCUUUUUUUCAGAGUUGGGGACUGAACCCAGGGCCUUGCGCUUCCUAGGCCAGCGCUCUACCUCUGAGCUAAAUCACAAACCCCUAAUUGCAUAAUUCUUUAUUUACAUUUCAAAUGUUAUUUCCUUUCCCGCUUUUCUGUCCAUAAGAUCCGUAACUGGUUCUCCUAAACUUCUCUAAUUCCCCUUACUGUCCCUUGACAUUCCCUUGAACUAUCAGUCAAAACUAGACAGGACCAAGGGCUUCUCCUUCCAUUGGUGCCCAACAAGGCCAUCUUUUGCUACAUAUGCAUUUGGAGUCAUAGGUCUGUCCAGGAACAUCCUAUCAUUAUUGUUUUAGUACCAGAGAACUCUGAUUCACUGGCAUUGUUUUUCUUAUGGGGUUGAAUGCACCAUCAGCUCUUUUAAUCCUUUCUCAAAUCUACCAACAAAAGGUCCAUUUUCAGUUCACUGGUUUCCCACUAGCAUUCACUUCUGUAUUUGACAUGCUCUAGCUGUGUGUGCCAGCAAAAAUCUAUAUCUGGUUUCUGAUAGCAUGCACUACUUCUUAGCUUCAUCAAUCUUAUCUUGUUUUGUGGUGCAAAUAUAUUCUCUUGUACUGCUCUGACUAUCAUUCCCUGACAAUGACCCUUUAGAUUUCUGAGUCGAUAGAUAUGGUUAGCUGGCAGGUUUCUAUUCAAGUAUAUUAUCAUAGGCUAGCUAUGGAAGAGGCUUUGAUGAGGGACAAGCUCAACUACACACCUCCUCCAGCCCAGGUAAGGAUAUUUUUGUACUUCAGUCAAAUGAGGCCAACAUUCUGUUCUGCCUACUGUGCUGAUGCCUUUGCUGAAAAAUCAGAAGUUAAUAGCCCUGUGUUGGAAGCUGGACAGUCAAUGACAGGCUAUGGUAUUGUGAAGCCAAGAUACACCAUGUGCAGCUGUGAAUAUGCCUGGGAAGGCUGACACUUUGGAUUUAUGAAGCAUUGCUAAGGGAUCCUGAGGCAAUCAGCACCUCCUGCUCAUCAGAGCUCUGGGAAUACUGACAGUCUUGCUUCAUCUCUAUAUGAAGCUAGGUCAAAAGAUCACCUGUCAGGGUCUGUUGGGAAGGCAUCAUCCCAAACGUCCACCAUCAGUGAGCAAGUACAACAGAUUAGGAAGUUGGAGAAAUUGACUAAUGACGUCCAGAAGAUGACCUGUGAGUUGGGUAAACUCCCAGGAAUGCUGACUCAUUGCACCAACAGCAUUUGGACAAAAGAAAGCCAUUAUGCCCACGUCUUUGUUGACUGUCCUGACCCCUCUGUGUUAACCUCAGUUUUCUCACACCACAGGAGAAUGCAACUGUAAUGUCCUCAUGUACAAACUAAUUUUCUUAUGUGCCUCUCAGAGGCAGAACAUGAAGAAAGGAUAGGAGUGUGUUAGGAAACUAUUUAAUUUCUCAGAAAAGCAUAAUCUGUGUUUUGAAUAGCAGUCUUGGGAUACGACAAGUAAUAUGUGAGCUCUUAUCAUGGAUUUUAAUAGACAGAGAACACAUUUUCUGUACUCAGAGGAAUACAAAAACUUGUCAGCUACAGAAGGACAGUAACUUAAUCUUAGAGAAGUAAACAAUUAUUUAUUUACUUUAAAGCUUUAUUUUAUUUGAUUUGUAUGAUUAUUCUGUAACUGUCAGACACAACAAAGUGGGCAUCAGAUUCCAUUAUACAUGUUUAUAUGCCACGAUGUUUUUGCUGGGAAUUAAACUCAUGACCUAUGGAAAAGCAGUCAGAGCUCUUAAAUGCUGAAUCAUCUUACCAGCCUACAUUACUUUUGAUGGUGAUGGUAUUGAUGAUGUUGAUGGUAUUGAUGAUGAUG